UACAGAUGUUAAAUAAAAAUAAGCAUGCACAUUAUCUAGGGUGGGAAGGGAAGCCUGUCUGAGGUGUUGACAUUGACCAGAGACCUGACUAUUAAGACAGAAGCAACCAUGAAGGGAUCUGAUGUAAGAGCAUUCUAGACCAAGGAACUAGCAGGUAUAUGAAGACCUGAGACUGGAAAUAUGAGGUUGACACGUUGGCAGAACAGUAAAGAGGCAGAUGAAGUCCAGGAGGCCAGAGAUGAUGUUCUAUCCAGCCAGCCAACAAUUCUCAAGCGGAGUGGCUCUAGAAACUCAGCUCUUGAAAACAUCACGGAGCUUUAUCAGUGAUAAGGCCAAGAGGUUGCAACUACUGUUAUCUUUGGACACACAAAAGAAUCACCUGGUCCAGGUCAGAAAGCACUUUUCUGGUAUUCUUGGUGUCAGUACAAUGUGCCAUUUAAUUAGGAGUCUGGUUUAAAGAGCGCACCUAGCCACAAAGCAAUCAAAUGACAAGCACACAUUAUCA
rnacentral:lncRNA from 1 species